UACGGAGGUGGCAAGCGUUGUCCGGAAUCACUGGGCGUAAAGGGCGCGUAGGCGGCUCAUGAAGGCUGUGGUGAAAGUCCGGGGCUCAAACCUCGGAUCGGCCGUGGCGACUCGUGGGCUGGAGCACUGUAGAGGCAGGUGGAAUUCCGGGUGUAGCGGUGGAAUGCGUAGAGAUCCGGAAGAACACCAGUGGCGAAGGCGGCCUGCUGGGCAGUGGCUGACGCUGAGGCGCGACAGCGGUGGGGAGCAAACAGG
rnacentral:rRNA from 1 species